UACGUAGGGUGCGAGCGUUGUCCGGAAUUAUUGGGCGUAAAGAGCUUGUAGGCGGUUUGUCGCGUCUGCUGUGAAAAUCCGGGGCUCAACCCCGGACUUGCAGUGGGUACGGGCAGACUAGAGUGAGGAAGAGGAAAGUGGAAUUCCGCGUGUAGUGGUGAAAUGCGUAGAGAUGCGGAGGAACACCCAGUGGCGAAAGCGACUUUCUGGUCCUUAACUGACGCUGAGGCGCGAAAGCAUGGGGAGCGAACGGG
rnacentral:rRNA from 1 species